UACGUAGGGGGCAAGCGCUGUCCGGAUUUAUUGGGCGUAAAGAGCGUGUAGGCGGCUAGGUAGGUCCGUUGUGAAAACUCGAGGCUCAACCUCGAGACGUCGAUGGAAACCAUCUAGCUAGAGUCCGGAAGAGGAGAGUGGAAUUCCUGGUGUAGCGGUGAAAUGCGCAGAUAUCAGGAAGAACACCCGUGGCGAAGGCGGCUCUCUGGUACGUGACUGACGCUGAGACGCGAAAGCGUGGGGAGCGAACAGG
rnacentral:rRNA from 1 species